GCCAGGUGUGGUGGUGCACGCCUGUAAUCCCAGCGGCUUGGAGGAUGAGGCAGGAGGACUGCAAGUUCAAAGCCAGCGUCAGCGAUAUAGCAAGGCCCUAAGCAACUUAGUGAGAACUUGUCUCAA
rnacentral:sRNA from 1 species